rnacentral:rRNA from 1 species
UACGAAGGGGGCUAGCGUUGCUCGGAAUCACUGGGCGUAAAGCGCACGUAGGCGGCUUCUUAAGUCAGGGGGGAAAUCCUGGAGCUCAACUCCAGAACUGCCUUUGAUACUGGGAAGCUUGAGUCCGGGAGAGGUGAGUGGAACUGCGAGUGUAGAGGUGAAAUUCGUAGAUAUUCGCAAGAACACCAGUGGCGAAGGCGGCUCACUGGCCCGGUACUGACGCUGAGGUGCGAAAGCGUGGGGAGCAAACAGG